UAAUCAGCAGGCAGAUCAACAGACCAACACUUCCACCAUAACUGCAAAUUUGAAUGCGGAUGAAUGGAUUACAACACGUUCAAGCCUUACAAUGAGAGGCAUUAUAAGCAUGUUCCUGCUUUUCUAAUAUUUGAAGAUACAUCACACCUGCAGAAUUAUGCACUCCAUUCUACCUUCAGGACAUCCUGCCAGCAUCUGCACUCAGCCACCAACUAGGAGACCCAGUGCCCAUCUCCUGCCAGAACUGCUGCUUUGGGCGGUCUUCUCAUUUGCUUCUCCUCAUUAUUUCUCCAUGUGGUAGCCAAAGUUUCUUUCUAAAAUGCAAAUCUAAUCACGCCUGAGCUAGAGCAGACCACUGGAGCCUGGUUUGAGGAUGGAAGGACCCUGACUUGGACUCUGUUUUGGUUGCUUUUACUCUGGUUUACUCCAAAGCUGCUAAGAGACCACAAAUAGACCAUGUGCUCCUCAUCACUUCCCUGGUUUUAUCUCAAAUAUCUAGAACCUACCUCUCAGCUCCACAAUAUGUCUCUGUCUACUUGGUUCACUGUGUUAUACUCAGCUAGUUUUUCCCAGAACUUACUGAGUCUCUUCCUACCUUAGGGAUGUGGAUAUGUUCUGUCAUCUGUGUAGACCAUUGCUCAUCUCUCUCCAUACCUACCC
rnacentral:lncRNA from 10 species